AACACUUCAUAAGCUAUAUCUUCUCUUUAAAUUUUUUUAUACUUUCACUCUUUAAGUGCUGAUCGAUUUCCGAAAAACUGACUUAGCAAAUCACAAGGAUGAAAGCUGCUAAGGCCGCACGUUCUGAUUGCUGUGAAGAAAUCAGUUCGUGACAGCCCCUAGCUAUAAUGGGUGAGAGAACUAGGACCUUAAAAACCUAUCUUUUUCGACUUGUGCGUAAAACGCGUUCACACAUAUAACAACUGAAAAUAACGAAAAAAACACCAACGAACAUGUCCGCAUGUUUUUUAGCAAAAAAAAAAACAUGUAUGCAUGUUCAACACCAGGAGGCUAUUCUCGUCAACUCACUAACGAAGUCGAAAACCGACUCGUUUUGAUGUUUUAGUGGGUCUCUAAACACGGAGCAAUAGAAAGCGUGACUACAAGUAUUACUCUUUUCCCACCAACCCCAAUAUCCAACCGUCCAUUUAAAAUCCUUCAUUAAAUCUUCACCCUCGAUUACCUUAACCAAUAUUGACCUGAGACCCCUUUCCACCUGGAAUAGAGGACAAGCAGAGGGACGUCUCCCUGAUGCUACAAAGGGUUGUGACUACUUGAGGCAGUUGUUUACGAAGUAGAUGGGUUUGUCUGACAAGGAUAUUGUCGCUUUAUCUGGGGCCCACACUCUGGCUUGUAUAUCAUCACUCCUACAAUUUUUUUUUUUUGGGUUUCAGUCUACAAAAUGUUGAUGAACUGAUUUGCAAUAUCACUGGGAAGAUGCCACAAGGAUAGGUCUGCUUUCGAAGUUGCUUGGACUUCAAGGAGAUCUUGAGCGGUGAGAAGGAAGGUCUUCUUCAGCUUGUCUCCGACAAGGUUCUGUUGGAUGAUCCUGUGUUCCGUCCUCUUGUUGAGAAUUACGCUGCUGAUGAAGAAGCGUUUUUCUCUGAUUACGCUGAGGCACACUUGAAGCUUUCUAAGCUCGGGUUUGCUGAUGCUUAAGCUGUGACAGGUGUGGUGGGGGUUCGGAGGGUUGGCAUUGCAUUUGCAUCUUUGUCAUUUGUCUCCAUGUACUCAAGGAUUUGACGUAGCUUGUGUUUUUUUUGGCGGCGGUGUUGCGCUUUUGAUGCACAUCAUUUGCGGUUUUGCUAGUUAAAAACAUUUUAAUAAACCGAUUUCUCUCAUUAUCAAAUCUAAUGUAAUAACCGAAAUAAUUUUUCCAAAUCAAUUUUUUUUUUAAAAAAAAAAUUGGC